GACACCACCACCCGAUUUGCCCGAUUGGACUCCCCGCCGGCGGCGCCGCCGCGCGACAUUUCCCGGCGUAAACCCUUCUCUGCUCCCCAUUCCCAGAGCCGCUGAGAAACCCCGCGACGGCGACGAUGCGGCGCCUCCACAGGUCCCUCCUCGCCGCCGCCCUCUCCAAGCCCCUCUGCCGCCACCGACCCCCUCUCCCGCUCCUCCUCCACCGCUCUCCUCUCCGCCCGCACCAAUCGCUCCCCUUCUCCACCCGAGCCCUAACCACGCCGCUACCUACUUCCGACGCGGCGCCGGCCGCCCUAACCACGCCGCCACCUACUCCCAGCGCGGCGCCGACCUCCCAACCCACCGCCCUCGCCUCCCUCGAGGCCGCCGAGCGCAAGGAGGCCGCGGGCGACCACCAGGAGGCCCUCGACCUCGCGCUCAAGGCGCUCGCCCCCCUGCAGGAGACCCACGGCGGCUGGUCGCUCCCCGUCGCGCGCGCCCUCCGCCUCGCUGGCGCCGCGGCCUUCCGCCUCAACCUCCUCAACGACAGCCUCGACUCCCUCGAGGCCGCCGCCGAGAUCGUCGACUCCCUGCUGGGCGCGGGCGCCGAGGCGGCCACCGUCGGCGCGGCCGUGCUCGACCAGCUCGCGCGCACCAAGACGGCCAUGGGGCGCCGCUGGGACGCCGUGGCCGACCUCCGCCGCGCGCUCGAGCUCAAGGGCCGCGUCCUCGAGGCAGGGUGCGCCGACGCCUGCAGGGACGUCGCCGAGGCGUACGUGGGGGUGCUGUGCUUCGACAAGGCGCUGCCGCUCUGUCUUUCAGCGCUCGAGAUCACCGUGGAGCGGUUCGGAGACGGCUCUGCGGAGGUGGCUAAGGUCCGGCAGAUCCUCAUGGUUGCGUACACCGGGCUGGGCCGCAACGAGGAGGCGCUGGAGCAGAACAAGCUUCUUAGGAUGGUCUACGAGGGGUUGGGUAUGGAUGUGGAGCUUUCUCUGGCUGAAAUCGAUGGCGCCGGCUUGAGUAUCCUGCUGGGCAGAACGGAGGACGCGAUGAAUGACCUGAAGAAGGUGAUGAAUCGGGCCAGCAAGGACAGCGAGGAGCGCGCGCUGGCAUUUGUCACCAUGGCCAAGAUUCUGUGCUCCCAGGAGAGGCUCAGCGACUCCAGACGGUGCCUGGAGAUUGCUCGUGAGACUCUCGACUCCAAACGUUCCGCCAACCCUGAGCGGACCGCUGGCGCAUAUACGGAGAUAUCGAUGCUGUACGAGUCGAUGACUGAAUUCGAGAUGCCGCUGUGUUUGAUGAAGAAAACGCUUGCGUUUCUUGAGCGUGUCUCGGGGAUGCAGCACAUCCAAGGGAGUAUCUCGGCAAGGCUAGGUUGGCUCCUCCUGCUGACGAAACGAGUUGAUGAGGCUGUUCCUUUGCUGGAGAAAGCAGUGGAGAUGCUGAAGAACUGUUUUGGACCGCUGCACUUUGGGUUAGGAUUUGCUUAUAAGCAUCUGGGGGAGGCUAACCUUGAACUGAACCAACUGGACGCAGCUGUGAAGUUCUUUGUUCUUGCGAGUGACAUCAUUACUGCUGCAUUUGGGCCGAAACAUGAGGAUUCCAUUGAGAUACUUCAGUUGAUUGCAAAUGCAUAUGGACUGAUGGGGAGUUACAAGCAUGCAGAGGAUUAUCAACUACGAGUUAUAGCUGCUUAUGAAAGUUGUGGCCCUGAUAUGUCAUAUGAGCAAAGAGAAGCUCGUAGGCUUCUGGAGCAGCUAAGGAAGAAGGCUGAAGGGUCACCUCAUGCAGUAUUUCCUGCCAAUUCAUUGCCUGUGCUUCCGCAAAACCGAGAAUAAUGCUUCUCCUAGCAUCUUAUAGAGGAAGAUGACUCAAUGACUUAUUUCUGGUUGGAAUUGAUUGACGACAUUGAGGUACUGCUCCGACCAUUAUAUUUGAAUUGCUAUCUUUAACUACUUUACUUGAGGAAGUAGCAUAUAAAAGAGUGUAUCAUGGAAGUGGCAGAUUAACACACCACAUAGGCUUGGUUGGGUUCUGUCAUUCUGUGACUAUAUCUUAUGCAUUUUCUAUGUGAAUUCCCGUGGCAUGCUUGAAAAAUUACAAAUGGAAAUUCAACUAUUGCUUAUCGAAGUACUGACAUACUAGUUAUGAAAUAACUAUGCUGCUAUCCUUAAUGACCUGUAAGUUGAUGCUGUCCAAAAGUCCAUUGAGUUGGAGUAUAGGAAGUUAGGAACAGAAAGGGAAGUCUAUUUUGUGACCUACUACAGUAAGGAAUAGCCCUACACUAUUAGAAAAUAGCUGUACACAAUAAGAAGAGAAAUCCUGCUCACAGCUCAAUUUUUGUUCACCAAAAAUGAUCUUAUCUUAAAUGUUCAACAUUGUAUCAUGAUCCGCUUUUUUUAGCCGUAAUUGGUAGAGUAUCUCCACUUGUGUCCUGGAGUUCCUGGGUUCAAAUUAGCCCCCUUGCAUGCCUAAAAUAUCCUUCACCAGCCCCCACAAUGUGUGGGAGCUUUCAGCACUGGGUACGCCCUUUUGGAAGGGGAGCCUUGGUGCAGUGCUAAAAGCUGCUGCCUUGUGACCAGGAGGUCGUGGGUUCAAGUCGUGGAAACAGCCUCUUGCAAAAAAUUGCAAGGAAAGGCUGCAUACAGUGACCUAAUGUGGUCCGACCCCUCCCCGGACCCGGCGCAAAGAGGGAGCUUCGUGCACCGGGCAGCCCAAUUGGUCGGAUUUGUUUAUUUCCACACAAAUUUUUGUAUGCCAUAUUGCAAUAUGUGAUUUAUUGUAUACAUAACAAAUAUGAAAUUGAGUUAGUAGUUUGCUGAAUAUUUCAAUUUUGUUUAUUUGCAUGUAGAAGCUAACAAACUGGCUAGUCAAAAUACUAGUUUAGCUCUUUUACUUGUACUAUCACAGACUGUCAGGAGGUGCUUCCACUAUAAGGUCAAUGGUUACUCUGACAGAGAAAACAUCAAGAUACUUUCUAGUACGAGACUGCAUGAUCCAGAUCAGCCCUCAUAUGAACUUGUAGCAGUUCCACCAAUUUGUUGCGAUUACCAUGGGCAAUAGGACAAGCUGGCUACAUCUUAGGAGGCCUAGUUACAUGUACAAUAGUGUCCAAGUCAGGAGCUGUUCCUCCUCUUGAGUAGAUGGGAGAUGGCUUCUACUUUGGCUAAAUGACAACGCAAUGUCCUAUAAAAGGUCCCCGUACUUGCUGUGCUGACAAAUGCUGCUAUAGCCAAAUAGUGUGCUACAAGCAUGCCUUGGAUUUUCAACGAGUUAUUGAUGCUUAUGAAAGCUGUGGCCCUGGAUCGGCCUGUGUGGAAGAGGAACUCUAGAGCAGCUGAGGAAGGCAGAAGGGUCACCUUUUAUCCAGUAUUAGCUGCAAAUUCAUUACCCUUGCUUACCCAAAAUCGAGAGUAGUGCUUGUCGGCAUCUGUUAGAUGAGUAUGGAGUAUGACCCAAUGGUAAAUUAAGAUUUUGGCAGUGACUCUGAGGUCCUUUUACUACUCCCUCCGUCCCAAAAAGGAUGUCGCGAAUUUGUCUAAAUUUGGAUGUAACUAUACACUAAAUUGUGUCGCGUCAAAAUAGAUCAAAAUUUAGACAAAUCUGUGACAUCCUUUUUGGGACAGAGGGAGUAUUAUUUUGGUGCCCAAUGUCACUACACAGUUUAUUUACGUAUCAGUGGAACUAGAUGUGAUCAUGUCAACAACAUAUUCUAUUUGGGAAGACCGUUGAAUAUGCUCCAUGAAUAAAACAUGAGCUUGCUGACUUAA